rnacentral:sRNA from 1 species
AACUUUCGGAAUACAGUUGCGGUUCUAGUUCUUAUACUCAAUCAAUACACAUGACAUCUAUUCAUGUUUGACACAAAAACCCAAACCAUGCUUCUACUGCCUGCACAAAGAUUUGACCCUGUAGUAGAAGUCCGUAAGAUUUUUUGUUUUCCGAUCUUCCAACAAGGAAAGAACACUUUAGCUUCAAUGAUCUGGU